ACGCGGCAAAUCAAUGGAUGCCAAGGAGGAGCGAAUAAGCGAAGCAAGGGCCGAGUGUUCUGCCACAAUCAAACAUGGUCGAUGGGACGCUCCAGGUCAUAGAGCAAAUACAAGGCUGCAGUUGAGCCUGUUCAACAUGGUUCCUACUCAUUGUGGAAAUUUCGCAUGCCAUGUCUGCCAGCCAAGGCACAUCGAGAGAAAGGAGUUGGCGACUAGCAGAAUAUUUUGGAGAGAUUGAAAACAUGGGAUCGUAUGGUGGCUGAAGAAGGCGGACAUCCUUGAUUGCCUGUUGCCUUCUGGUUUAGAGGUAAAUCAAAAGUACUCCUGCCUUACUUAAGGACGGAUUAAAUGUGAAAUAUUAUUGUUUGUUCAAUUUGUGUUCUAUUUAGUGGAUUCCGAAAAAAUAAACCAGUACGGUGGUAUCUACCAAACAGAACCGUGGCAUGUCUUUCUCAUGGAAGUGGUGUGUGAGGAAGAAUGCAGCAAUGAGGAUUGCUGUGUCAAUUAUGUUGUUGUAGCAAAGUAUUGAUCUGAUAGUCAUAUGUAUAUUAUGUUAUCACCUUACAAAGUAACCAGUGAGUUGAAGAUCACAAAGUUAUGUUUAACUAUCUAGAGGUUAACUCCUUAAUUGGUUUACUGAAGUGAUUAUCUAGAGCUUGUGAGGAAAAGGAGAAAAGCCAAGAAGCCUGGGCACAUUGCAGUGACCUGAUGUGUGACAUGCCUGCAUCUUUUUCCAAGAGAUCAUUAAUGUGUCAUAGCGAUUGACAACUACACAUGUUAGAAAAAUUUCUGCACGCAAUACAACUGAGCAUGUUAUUCUGAAUAGUGAUGAUCGAACUCUUGCUUAUACAAGUAUCUUGUGGCGACUAGCCAUGUAUGGAUUUCGCUUGGAGGCAUACUAGCAUAGUAUAGAGGCUAACAUAAUUCUAGAAGGCUAAUUUUAGUCCAAGCACAUAGAUGUAAAGAUGAUAUCCUUCAAUACCAUGUACUCCGUAUUUUUUUACUUAUGUCUUCAUCUUGCAACAAAUCACAGGAAGAUAUAAUCCUCUGACCUCAAGUAUGAUUUCAUAACUGUAGGUAUUGCAGCAAGUGUUAUCAAGAUUACUUGAGUUCAUUGGUAUAAAAAUGUUUAAUGAAGCAUCUUUGCACAACAAAGGAAGAUUAAUGAUGGAAAAAUGGCACAUAAGAAUAAGGAGAACAAACUUUCUGCACUUUGAGACAACAUGGAUACAUGCCCAUCGUAUUUACGGAUUCUCCGUAGUUGAGAAUGUUUUGUUUUCAUCAGGUUGAUUUAUCGCAAUUGACAUGCAUAUACUAGCAACCAUUUCGCCUAAACCCAGUUAUGAUCGAGUUGUGCAUUUGUUUGUAGACUAUUUGGUUGAUCUCAACAAUUCCCCUUAUACCCGCUAAUGACUAUGUUUUUCCUUCAUGUACGUACGACAUGCACCUUCAUCGGCGAGAAGGGUCGGCAAACCAUCUCGAUGAGCUUAGGAGCAACACAUCAUCAGCGGCAGGAGCUUCGUUGUACUGGAGAACCAAGAACAGAUGCUUUGCCGUACUAGAGAACCAAUAAUAGGGAGUACAGAGGAGAAAAGAGCCUGAAGAUGCGUGCGGUAAAUUAUAAAUUUAAUACAGAAUAUAUUUUCUAUUUGAGAAUGGAUAUCAUUUUAAAUAUGUUGAGUACUUUGAAUAUUGUUUUUCUACUUGCAAGGUUUUGCCGAAUAUUGUUUUUCUACUUGCAAAGUUUUGUUGAAUAUUGUUUUUCUACUUGCAAGGUUUUGUUUCAGUGAUAAUUAUUGUUUAGGUUUCUAAUCAUUUAUUAUUUUGUACCCGUUGCAACACACGGGCCUUUUUGCUAUUUUUUUAAUUAAUAAUAAUGAAGCACGGGUUGAGUGUGGCGGGAUCACCGUCGCGCCCUUUUUACGGAAAAAUCCUUAUACUUUCUGGUAAUUGAACCCGCAGUCCGUGUUUAAGUGGAUCUAAGAAAACGUCCUAUUUUUACAAAUUAACACCUGAAUUUGUGAGAAUUCCCAGUCUCCCUCAGUCCCUCCCCUCCAGCCGGCUCUCUCAUCCUCCCCCUCCGCCACCCUCGGGCUCCGGCUCUCCCCUCCGCUUCCGGCCAUCUCGGCCUCUCCUCCGCCUCCGGCCUCCGCGGACCACCCUGUAGGUUGUAGAAGAGGAGGCGUACGCAUUGCCUAGCAAGCCUCCAGCUUCAAGCGAUUGACGGCGAUCUGGAUUCCGUCUGGAUUAGAGCAGUGCAGCAGGAAGAGGAUCAGGGGGUGGUGGUGGUCCAGGCCAUGGGGGCGGGGAGGUCGGACGGGGAGAGGAGAGAUAGCCCUAAGGACGAGGUCCUCGCCGGCUGAAUCGAAUCGAGAAUUCGUCAGCUCCUCCCACCCCUGCGGUCACAUCUCUCUUGGAGAUCCUCUUCAACCCGGAGUUCCUCGUGGAGGGCACCCGCUCACCCCGGCGUGUGGAGAGGAGGUAGGCCGCCCCUCCUUGCGGGCGUCGCUGGAGGAGAGGGCGCGCGGGAACAUCGGAUGUGGAACAACUGCUGCCAUGGUCCUCAUCCGGCCUUAAUUUCAAGAUACGGUGUAGGUGUAGUGGACUAGGAUGGGAAGGGAGGAGGCCGUGGCCAAGGAGGAAGAGCAGCGGGGCGAUAGGGACCUGCAAUGUGGGAACGAAGGUGUGCACUGGUCGACACCCCAUCGUGGGGAAGACAAGAGGUGUAGGUUCCGAUCUGAUCCUGUGACUAGAAGUAGCCGGGAGCUGCAAGGGCAAGUCAAAGAUGAGUGUGGUUCGGUUCAGUUUAGGCAACAAGAGCUGCAUUGUGAUCAUGGCACGGUAACUUGUCGUCGACAUGGUUCUCAGUGAGUAAUCCAUAUGGGAGACCCCUGCCAUUGUCUUCUUUAGUGACAAGCAGUGGUUCAUCGGCACUGCAAGCACUGCGAACUCCAGCAUGAACCCAAAGACUUUAAGUUUCUUUUAAGUUCUAUUCUAAUAGUACAUGUCUAGAUUUCAUCUAUCAUGCAUGUCACCGAACACAACAUCCCAACUGAGCUCAUCGACCAGCUGCGCAACGCCGGCACUACCAAGAACAAGGAGGUGUAUGCUAAACAAUUCAUCACAUCUCCUGUUGUUGAACUGCCUAUUAUGCAAAUUAUUGGCAUGUUUUCUUGUGGGUUUGUUUUGCCUCAAUGGUACUAUUCUUCUGGAAGAUUUUGUUUCAAGUUUGCAGUUCGAUUUACAAACAUGAAGAUAUAAGGAUGGGAGAUCAACAUAUUCAUGUUUUCUCUGGUAAAUGUGAAGUUCCGGUCUAUCAAAAAAGCGGCUAAUGUCUAGCAAUCUGCAGCAAGAACUUUAUCCACUCAUCUGGUCCAACUUACACCCAUGGAAUUCCCCAUCCACAUCUCUCUGUUCGUGAAAGCAAUUGCUGGAUUUGUAUGCAUUGCAGCAGUCAGCCAGAGGCUUCCAGUUUUUCCUCCAUCUGAAGCCUAGCGCUUAGAGAUCUUGUCCUCUGCAUUACCUGGUAUUUCAUUUGUUUUAGUCAUUCAGUUGACUAAAAUCAGCUCAGCUCUUCUUUCGUUUGGAAAGAUAUAUUCUGAAGCAAAAUAAUGUCCGAACAACCUGAGCUUAGACAUACAUCAAUUUUGGUGUCCUAAUCGGGGAAUUAUGAAGACAGGCAUACGUGGAAAUGUCUGCUAAUAUGAUAAAUAUAAUGUUAAAGGAUGGAAGAUUUCCAUGUGAAGCUAGAUACAACGCUCUGUUGUAUACAUGAUAUAUAUAUUGAAGGAAUUUGACCAGUCGCUUGAUUUUCUUGCUGAGAUGCAGUGGGAAAGUUAAAACCAAGCAAGAUGUCCUGUGAUAUGCACGAGUGACCUUUGGUGCCAUGGGAAGAAAAGUUAUGCCAAGAAGAUUUCGGAGAUGCUAUUGACCUUUGGUUCUGUACCGUCCUUUGGCAUGUAUAGAACUGUUUCUGAUAACUACUGUAGGUCCAACCUGGAAGCUGCAGAACUUUUGCUUCACGUGCAGCAAGAAGGACAUGUACCCCACUUUGAGAUGCAAUGGUCUGUGAUAAGCAAUUUAUAAGCAGUACUAAUAGGAAGACUGAAGGACAUGAACAAUCUCUAUUUCCAGUCAUGUGCAUGGAUCUCAAGCAAUAAAAAUGGGUGGUGGAGAUAGGGUACAAUGGUUGUUGGAGGGGCUCCUGAUGUAUGGCGGUUGGAGUUGACAAAGAUCUGGCCUCCUCGUCACCGGGCGACAGCCUAGAUGUUGCAGAUGACCUUCCAUCACACUUUAGUUUGACCUGAACUGCCUCAGGGGCAGCCACCAGUGCAUUUUCACAGACCUUCUCUCCACUAAUUGCAUACGGUUGUUAAGAACGCCAAAAAAGUACAUAUUCCACCUUUUCAACCUAUAUUUUUAAUAACCAGUUGUUCGACCCACGCUUUAUAUAUACAUGCGAUGAUUGAUUUUAUCUUCUAUCAAAUACUUGAUAAACUGCAACAUCUUGAAUCCAAAUGUAUUUUUACUUGAA